AUAGAUACAACGCAGCCAUCUUCACUCGCUUCGUGUACUUUCAAAGUGUUUGCCCAACACUAUAAGUUCUCCAACUCACUCCUAACACAAGAAAAUAUGUCUGAGACAUUGACAUUUGGCCCAGAAUGGCUCCGUGCGCUUUCUGGUGGCAGCAGUGUGACGUCCCCACCACCGUCACCCGGACUCCCUAAGUUCAAGCUAGCACAGUAUCGCUAUGGACGUGAGGAGAUGCUCGCUCUGUUCAAUCCGCCGGCCCAGCCACCGGACGACCUUCUUCCGGUCACAAGCCUGGUCAGCGAGAAAUCCCUGCAUCCCCUCGCAUUCUCCCCACUAUCCGAAGACGAACAGCGGAGUGCACUACAGUCAGUAAACAGUACAGCCGUGCUGAGAGUGAUGGGGAGAGGCGGGCCGGCAGGAGGGGUGCGCGGGGCUCUGAGGGGAGGUGGUGUCGACAGAGGCAGAGGCAGAGGUAGAGGAAGGGAGGGUUGGCGGGGAGGACCCUAUGAUGAGGAGCACGAUGGUUUCAUUCGUCAACGUUACGACGAUAGAAGCUCGAGUUUGGAUGACACUAAAGGACUUCGUGGCGGAUUCAGCAGACCAUUCCAUAGUCGCGGUAGUUUCGACGAGCUGGAGCGAGACAAGCCCGUGGAGCGAGACGCGGAGGGUCGCGUCGUCAUCGUGAGACGCGGUGGCGGCAGCGGCGGCGAGUACUCGCGGUCGAUGAGCACGGAGAACUGGCGCACGCGCGACCGCGCCGACGACGAGGAUGGAGGCAGCGCGGGCGGAGGAGGAGGAGGAGGUUGGAGAACGGCCCACCGGUCGGGCGAACGCGACAAGUACGGUCCUAAGGCUGGGGUGUCGAGUUGGCGGGAGCGGACGAAGGAUGAUCGCGCGGACCGUGAGUUUGUGCGUGACCGUACGAGACACGGCUCACAGCCCAGGAACACGGAGCGGGAGGAUGGCAGCAAGGGUGGGGAUUUGCCAGAGUGGAGUCAGGACGAUCCGUGGGACGUGGAUGAAAAUGUCGGAACGUUCGACUCGAGUGGUGCCUUUAUGGCUGGAAAGGGCGCGGAGGACGGCGAAGCUGACCCACCGGAUGAGAUUAGAGCGGGCGACGCGAGCGAUCAGGGCGACUCUUCCUCCAAUGGUGCUAACAACAACCCGACGACCAACAACAACAACCACACCGCGCAGCAGCGACGACCCAGCAGUGAAACGUCUGACGCACGCGCUGACGUCGGCAAAGCGCUGAGCGCCGCUGCAGUCAAACCGGGCAAACAAUCGGACGCGCAGCCCGAGCGCACGUCGCUCUCUGAACAGAGCGCCGUCGCCGCCGCCAGGAGAAGGCAGCACUCCGGGGCGGUGGCGCCCCCCGGCAACGGCACGGAGGUGCCAGCAUCGUCGUCGUCACCGUCGUCGUCUCCCGGCUCGAACUCGCUGCCUGUAAAUAGUGUAGAGAAGACUUCGGCGAGCCAGCCGUCGGCGACGGUCGCGGCGAGGGAGCCGCCCCGCCCCAACCCGCUCGCCUCCCGCGGGUCCCCGCCCAGUGACAACAAACCUACUGUGAUCUCACACGCGCCGCAGCAGCAGCAGCCAAAACCCGCCGCGAAGGAGGGAGUGGCGGACGGAGCGAGCGCAGCGACGAUAAAGGAGGAAGACUACCUGGACCAUAUCAAGAAGGCGGCGGAAACGCUCAUGGAGACGUGGACGGCCGAGGAGGAGUUAAAACAGGUGUCAGCCCCAGCUCAACCUGCGUCGAUGGCUCUGCCGCUUACUCAUGCCGAUGCGCUGAACUGGUUUUACAAAGACCCCGAGGGAGAUCUACAAGGUCCGUUCCAGCCGUCGGAAAUGGCAGAGUGGUUUGGCUGCGGAUUCUUCCCCAUGAACCUGCUAGUGAAGCGUGGCUGCGACAGCUGCUUUCUCACGCUCGGGGAAAUCAUUAAGCGGUGGGAUAGCGUUCCGUUCUUACCGGGUCUCACGGAACGGUUACCGCCUCUACAGAGCAGUAGCUUGACCACUGGUGAGGUGGGCGCUGGCAUAGUGCCUUCUAGCAGCAGCGGCAGUACGCAAGACGCAGGGCACAUAGAGCUAAUACAGCAGCAGCAGCAGCAGCAACAGCAGCAUUACCUACAGCAGCAGCUGGUUCAGCAGCAAAUCAUGCAGCAGCAAAUACUUCUCAGGCAACAGGCUCAGCUACAGCAGCUCGUUACUCUCAUGAAGCAGGACGAGGCGUUUGCACAGCUUCCCCCACAGCAGCAGCAGACGCUCGCGUUACGAGCGCUGAUGGCGCAGCAGCAGCUCAUGCUACAGCCGAAGCUACCCACAAGCUCGCCACCGCUGCACAUAGCUACCUCGGUGGACCCGUCCGCGGCUGGUCUCGCAGCAGUGGCGCCAUCUGCCGUCAAACCCGUGCCGGCGGCGGUGUGGGGCGGCGGCGGCGGGCAACACACGAUGCGGUGGCCGGCGGCGCGGGUCGAACCGAAGAGCGUGUGGGACCUGGACGCGCCGACGUCGACGCAGCUAGAGGAGAUGCACCGAGCGGAGCAGGCCGCUAAGGAGAAGCAGCAGAGAGAGCAGGAGGAGGCGUUGCGUGCACUGCAGGUGCGAGAGGCCGAGGAGACGAGGAGACGGGAGGCGUUGCUGCGGCAGCAGAUGGAGUUGCAGAAGAAGCAGCAGGAGGAGAGGAAACGACAGGAGGAAGAGGCGAAACGCAAGCAGGAGGAGCAGGAGAGACAGGUGCAUGAGCGACAGGAUGAGUUGCAGCAGCAGCAGCAGCAGCAGCAGCAGCAGGAAGAGUUACGGAGACGCGAUGAGCAACGUAAGCAGCAAGAGCAACAGCGGAUACAGGAGGAGAAGAAAAGGCAGGCGGAAAGGAGACGCCUUGCUGAGCAGCAGCGAAGGAUGGAUGAGGAAGAGGCGGAGAAGAGGAGGCAGGAGGAGCAGCAACGGCAGGAGCAGGAGGAGAGGAGACUGGAAGCGGAGGAGGUGGAGCGACAACGGCAGCAGGAGAUUCAAAGGCAGCAGGAGAUGAUACGAGUGAUGGAGUUAAAGAGGCAGCAGGAGGAAGCGGCACAGCGAGCAAAAACACCAGCACAGCUUGCACCCUGGGCCCAUCACUCCCAGCAGCAGGCUACCGGUGCCCUGUCUCUCGCACGCAUCCAGCAGUGGCAGGAGGAAAAGGAUCAGGAAGCCAUGGAGAAGCAGAAGAUCCAAGUGCAGCAAGAUCAGAUUCAGCAGCAACAACAGCAGCAGCAACAGCAGCAGCUCAAGGGCUCCUGGGUUAACAGGGCUCCAGUCAACACAGCACCGCAGGUGAAGUCUCUGCCACAGAUUCAGGAGGAAGAGGCGAGAAAACUGCUACGGCAGAAGGAGAAGCAGGUGCAGCAGCAAAAGCAGCAGCCAGCAAGUGUACCACUGGGCAUGUCGAACUGGGCAGCUAAGACCAGUGCGAACACAAACAACUGGGGCAGCAACGGCACUGCUAUCUGGGGCGAUGCAAAAUCGCAGGGCAAAGGGUUCUGGGAGGAAGACGUCGCUCCGGUGAAAACGAAGAAGUUCAAGAAUGCGUCAAACAGCAAGAUAGAUCCCGAUUUUCCUUCUCUAUCCCCGGCCAAGGGAAAGAAGACGUCGUCUGCCACCAAUGCAAAGAAGGAACCUCGGUCUCAGAAGGAGGCGGAGAACGUUAUGAAGCUGUUUGAACAGAAGCGACCCAUGGACGAAUUCACGCAGUGGUGCAACAAGGCUCUAUCGGACAUGCAGCACACGUUGGACGUUCGACGUUCAUUUCUUCCUGAAGGAUGUAGAUUCCCCAUAUGAGAUUCAUGACUACGUACGAUCGUACCUCGGUGAGAGCAAAGACGCGAAGGAAUUUGCGAAGCAGUUCAUCGACAAGCGCAGCAAAUACCGCAACCAGGCCAAACAAACAGAUGAGGACAGCAUGUGGGGACCCGCCCCAGCCAUUACUCCGUCCGGCGGGGGCAAGCAGUCCGUUCAUCCCGAACAGGGCAGCGGUGGCGCCAC